rnacentral:misc_RNA from 1 species
GCUCCGUAGGUGAACCUGCGGAGGGAUCAUUACAGAGUUCAUGCCCUACCGGGUAGAUCUCCCACCCUAUGUUAUUAUUACUUUGUUGCUUUGGCGGGCCGUUAGGCUCCGGCCCGACUACCGGCCCCGGCUGGUAAGCGCCCGCCAGAGGACCCAAAACCCUGAGUAUUAGUGUCGUCUGAGUACUAUAUAAUAGUUAAAACUUUCAACAACGGAUCUCUUGGUUCUG